UGGGGAAUAUUGCACAAUGGCGGGAACUCUGAUGCAGCGACGCCGCGUGAACGAAGAAGGCUUUCGAGUCGUAAAGUUCUUUUAUAUGGGAAGAUAAUUACGGUACCAUAAGAAAAAGCCCCGGCUAACUACGUGCCAGCAGCCGCGGUAAUACGUAGGGGGCUAGCGUUGUCCGGAAUCACUGGGCGUAAAGGGUUCGCAGGCGGAAAUGCAAGUCAGGUGUAAAAGGCAGUAGCUUAACUACUGUAAGCAUUUGAAACUGCAUAUCUUGAGAAGAGUAGAGGUAAGUGGAAUUUUUAGUGUAGCGGUGAAAUGCGUAGAUAUCAGGAGGAACACCGGUGGCGAAGGCGGGUCUCUGGGCAGUAACUGACGCUGAGGAACGAAAGCGUGGGUAGCGAACAGG
rnacentral:rRNA from 1 species